AUACAGAGGGUGCAAGCGUUGUUCGGAAUUAUUGGGCGUAAAGCGCGUGUAGGCGGCGGAGCAUGUCGGGUGUGAAAGCCCUCGGCUUAACCGAGGAAGUGCGCCCGAAACUGCUUUGCUGGAGUGCUGGAGAGGGUAGCGGAAUUCCCGGUGUAGAGGUGAAAUUCGUAGAUAUCGGGAGGAACACCAGUGGCGAAGGCGGCUACCUGGACAGACACUGACGCUGAGACGCGAAAGCGUGGGGAGCAAACAGGAUUAGAUACCCUGGUAGUCCACGCUGUAAACGAUGAGAACUAGGUGUGGCGGGUGUUGACCCCUGCCGUGCCGAAGCUAACGCAUUAAGUUCUCCGCCUGGGAAGUACGGCCGCAAGGUUAA
rnacentral:rRNA from 1 species